rnacentral:rRNA from 1 species
AUUGAACGCUGGCGGCAUGCCUUACACAUGCAAGUCGAACGGUAACAGGUCUUCGGAUGCUGACGAGUGGCGAACGGGUGAGUAAUACAUCGGAACGUGCCCGAGAGUGGGGGAUAACGAGGCGAAAGCUUUGCUAAUACCGCAUACGAUCUCAGGAUGAAAGCAGGGGACCGCAAGGCCUUGCGCUCACGGAGCGGCCGAUGGCAGAUUAGGUAGUUGGUGGGAUAAAAGCUUACCAAGCCGACGUUCUGUAGCUGGUCUGAGAGGACGACCAGCCACACUGGGACUGAGACACGGCCCAGACUCCUACGGGAGGCAGCAGUGGGGAAUUUUGGACAAUGGGCGCAAGCCUGAUCCAGCCAUGCCGCGUGCAGGAUGAAGGCCUUCGGGUUGUAAACUGCUUUUGUACGGAACGAAAAGACUCUGGUUAAUACCUGGGGUCCAUGACGGUACCGUAAGAAUAAGCACCGGCUAACUACGUGCCAGCCGCCGCCGUAAUAC